GUGAUUUCUAUACGAUAUCGACCUGAAAUAAAAACACCAUCAUAAAGAUUAUACGAAACUUUCUUAUAUAUAUAAAAAUAAAUAUAAAAAGAUAUUAUAUAUUACAAUCAUACUAAUAUUCUCUCGACGUGACCACGUGGUUGAUACACGAGGGGUGGCCUCCGUACUGGUGUAGAUAUCCACCUCCUGGUGAUCGUCCAAUACCACUGCAUGUAAACAGUGGUAGCUCGUAUAGGAUCUGGAUCUACCUCAUGGUCUACCUCUGCUAUAUCCACCAAUCUAU
rnacentral:lncRNA from 1 species